AUGAUCGCGCUGGUCUUGCUACUCCUGUUUCUUUGUUGUAAUAGAUCGCGCUGGUCGUUGUCUACUCGGUGGGGGUGGGUGGUGUGUGUGUGUGUGUGUGUGUGUGUGUGUGUGUGUGUUUUGAACAUAGACUGUAUGGCUUUGACUCGUUUCUUCUGUUUUUGUGUUGGCGACGUAAGCGCGUCAUCCGGGAAUGACCGCGCACAUGCGCGCGCACGCACGCCGAGAUUCGAGGCGGGGGCGCGCGGAAGAGAUCGUAAUUCUGUCUGUUGUUCAUUCUUCACUGAAGCGCGGAAACGCGUCAAAACGCGACGGAGAGCGACCCGAGCCGCAGCGACGCGCGACAUGGACGGACUGUUUCACCAGUGGGCACCCUCCCCAGUGUCUCAAGGUAGGACAAGUUUACUGUAUGUGUCACGUCAUCACGCUAGAGCUCUCUUUAGGAUGGACUGUAGUCACUCUCUCUAGAGCAUGUACUGUGAGAUCUGUCACUGAACAGUCAAGUUAUGUUUCAGGAUAUUAAUAGACCAAGCUGUGCACGGCUCACUGCACUCACAGACUCCAGAGACACGGUUGUUCAUCAGGGAUGUGCUCAACUGAUCAGUCAAGACAUUAUAAUGUUACAAAAGAUUGCCAUUUCAAAUACAUGCUGUUCGUCUGAACUUUCUGUUCAUCUGUGAAUCCUGAAAAAUAAAAUGAAUCAACAUUGAUAAUAAUCAGAAAUGUUUCUUGAGCAGCAAAUCAUCAUAUUAUUAUGAUUUCUGAAGAUCAUGUGACAGUGAAGACUGGAGUAAUGAUGCUGAAAAUACAGCUGCACAUCACAAAAAUACAUUACACUUUAACAGAUAUUCACACAGAAAACAGCUGUUUUACACUGGAAUAAUAUUUGACAGUUUUACUGUAUUUUUGAUCAAAUAAAUGCAGCCACAGAGAACAGAAGAGACUUUAAAAACAUUUAAAAACUGUGCCAACCCCAAAGGCUUGAACACUGGCACUUGAGCUAUGGAUUCUUCUAGAUGAUAUUCUGUAGAUUAUUUGAGAUGAAUUCCCAAACGCACAUGUUGUAGAGUGGGUCCACUCCUCUGUACAGAUCCUCUCUCAAUCCUGAAGGUUUCUUGGCUGUGGUUUGUCAACUCAAAGUUGAGCUCCCUCCACAGAUGUUCUACAGGACUGAGCUCUGGAGACUGGCUCGGCUCCUCCAUGACCUUCAUCUGCUGCUUCCCGAGACACUCCUUCGUUGUCUUGGUGGUAUGUUUCGGGUCAUUGUCCUGCUGGAAGACCCAUCUUCAGUGUUCUGGCUGAGAGGAGGAGGUUCUUGUCCAAGGUUUUACAGUCCAUGGCCCGUUCAUUUGCCCUCAGUGUGGUGAAGUCGUCUGUACUCUUAGCAGAAAAACAGCCCCAGAGCAUAAUGUCUCCAGCUCUGUUCUUGACUGUAGGGAUGGGGUUCUCGGGGUCAUAGUCAGCAUUUCUCUGCCAAAGAGCUCAAUUUUGGUCUGAUCUGACCACAGCACUUUCUCCCAAGCCUUCUCUGAAUCAUUUAGACUUUAAACGGUCCUGUACCCGUGCCUCUUGAGCAGGGGACCCUGCAGGAUUUCAGUCCGUUCUAAGCAGAUUAAUUCUGUGUCAGUCUAUUUUGGGGGGUCAUCUGAUUUGUGACGAUGCAUUCAUAACCUUUAUAUAAUGUGUUUUUUGGUUUUAUUGGUUGGUAUUCUGUCUCUAGCUGUU
rnacentral:lncRNA from 1 species